UGCGUAGGCGGGCUAAUAAGUCAGUGGUGAAAUCUCUCGGCUCAACCGGGAAACUGCCAUUGAUACUGUUAGUCUUGAGUUCGGUUGAGGUAGGCGGAAUGUGUAAUGUAGCGGUGAAAUGCUUAGAUGUUACACAGAACACCAAUUGCGUAGGCAGCUUACUAGACCGACACUGACGCUGAGGCACGAAAGCGUGGGGAGCGAACAGGAUUAGAUACCCUGGUAGUC
rnacentral:rRNA from 1 species